AAAAAAAAUCUGUAAAAUAACAGUUAAAUGACUGUAUAUUUUAACAGAUUUUUUCCGUAUACACGUAUUACGGGUGUUUUUCCGUUUAUAUACAUUUUCGAAUUGCAUUGUGGGAAGGGGAUCGCAGCUCAGGCAGCGUUUGAUGGACAUCGGGACAUAUUUCUUCCUCUGUUUUUUCCCUGUUGUUUGUCCGUAUUUUUCUAAACUGCCGUGCGCGGGAAGUGACGUGACGUCCCAAUCACCCACUCACUCUCUCUGCACCUGCGUGAGUCUGACUGGAUUAACGGUAAACGUCAGCUUGUCUGUGAGAGUGUGAAAGGUGUGUUGGUGUAAAAAUUGAUGCUGACUGAACUCAGGCAGUUGUGCUGGACCUUCUGUACUUUAUACAGGAGAUGACAGUAAACUUUCAAGUUUAAGAGGUGUGUUGGUGUAAAAAGUGAUGCUGACUGAACUCAUGCCGUUGUGUUGGACCCUCUGUACCUUAUACAGGAGAUGACAGUAAACUUUGAAGUUUAAGAGGUUCUGUAAUUUUGGAUAUAAGUACAAGGUGUGUUGGUGUAAAAAUUGAUGCUGACUGAACUCGGGCAGUUGUGCUGGACCAUCUGUACUUAGUACAGGGGAUGACAGUAAACUUUCAAGCUUUAGAGCCACCUGAUGAUGAGAGAGACAAUUUCAAUGUGGGCAUCUUGAUGAAGAAGAGUCCACAGUCACAAUAACAAGAUCAUUGGGCUGUCCCCUAAUUGUGGUGAGCUACAUGUUUAGUCUCUUAUGUGCUAAACAUUAUGUAGCCUAAGGAAGCAGCCCUGACUCUGGAGUUUAUAUGAAGGAGCAUGCUGAGUAACUAUCCAGAAUGUAGGUCCAAAGCAGAAAAAAAGAGCACCAAGCAGAAACAUACCAUCUAAACUCCUUCGAUUCCUGUCAGACCAGAAAGACUUUCAGAAUCCUUGGAAGAUUUAAAGCCAUUGAAGUAUCAGUAUUGGAGCGGAAGAAGACCCAGUUGUAUCGUCUGUUUCCUGCCAUCUUGCAGUUUAACCUGGUUUCUUAAUGUAAAGUACUUGUAAUUUGCCCACUUGUCCUCAAUUAUCUUAAAGCUAACAUUUAAAACUAAUUUGCUAUGAGAUUAUUUGCCAAGACCUCUCACUGUGUGAUUCACAUGUCAAUAUGUAUUAUUGUGUGUAUAACUAGCUAUUUGGAAUUCAAAUGAUUUGUAUUCAUUAAAGAAUCUGUUUUAAUUGCAAAGUUGUUUUUGUACUAAUUGUAUGUUCACAGUUAACAAACUAUUUACUGCUUCUUUACACAUACAGUAUAGAAUAAAUGUUUUUUUUUACUAUGGUAAACCAUUAAUAGUGUAUUUCCCAUAUGUAUAUGUUUAUCCUUACCAACUGCCAUUUCUAUGCUGCUUGAAGAGCAUUAAAUUAGUAAAAUAAUAAUUUUUUUACAGUAGGUAUCCCAUUAAAACAAAGA